UUAUGUGCCUACAACAUAGUGUUAAUGCACCCGAUCCCAUUAGAACUUCGCAGCUAAGCGCACUCGACUAUAGUAGUAAUAGGAUGGGUGACCAUCUCAAAAUACCUAGUGUUUUACAUGGC
rnacentral:rRNA from 1 species